AUCUGGUACAAGGAGAGGAAGGCCUCCCCCUCCCCUCCCCCAACCCUAGCCUUGCAAUUUCAAAGUGCUGAGUCACCUAGUCUUCUCAAGGGCCAGACACUUUCACCCAGGAAGAGUCCUGCAGAGCACCGCAGCGGGAGCACGGAGCUGCCAGGAAGCGGCUCGGUCUUUCCACAAGGUGGUAAUUUACUCUAGAACCGAUGUGCAAGCGCUUCCUUCUGCGUGCUUUGAGUAGGAGUGGGAACAACGGAUCUCUCCAAACAUGGGCAAACUGAGAGCUGCCAUCCUUGGACCAACUAGUUCCUGCGAAGGAUCAGAAGCAGCGACUAGCUAGCGGGGAGCCUCCAUCCCGCGUGCUGGGAUGCUUCGGCGGAUGCUUUGUGUCUCACUCCAUCUUUCGUGCCCUGUAAAGGAGGAACUGUUGUUUUUCAGUCUUCUGGAGCAGCCACGCCUUCCCACAGCACUCAGAGUUGAUGAAGGGAGAGAACGUCUCAGUGAUGACAUCUGCAAAUGAAAUUUCUGACGCAGUUAUACGACAUGGUUCCUAAGCAUCUCUCCAGAGACCCCAGCGCUCACCAUAAGAAAUAUGCUGAAUCCAGUUUAGCCCACGAAAGAAUGCAUUUCUCAGGCUCAGUCUACAAGGCUCUUGCUGUGCAAACCCGGGACGAGAGUUCAAUCCCCAGAAACCACAUAGAGAAGGAAGGAGCAGCUCCUGAGGUUAGCUAUCCUCUGACCUCUAUAGGCAUGCUGUGUGGCUCAAGCACCCUCCCACCC